AGCAGCCGCGGUAAUUCCAGCUCCAAUAGCGUAUAUUAAAGUUGUUGCAGUUAAAAAGCUCGUAGUUGAAUUUCGGGAUCAAGGAAUCGGUCAUGCCUCGGUAUGUACUGGUUUUAUUGGUUCUCACCUUCUAAAGAACCAUAAUGUCAUUUAUUUGAUGUUAUGGGGAAUUAGGACUGUUACCUUGAAAAAAUUAGAGUGUUUAAAGCAAGCUUACGCUUGAAUACAUUAGCAUGGAAUAAUGAAAUAGGACAUCCGAUUCUAUUUUGUUGGUUUCUAGGAUCGAUGUAAUGAUUAAUAGGGAUAGUUGGGGGCAUUAGUAUUCAAUUGUCAGAGGUGAAAUUCUUGGAUUUAUUGAAGACUAACUACUGCGAAAGCAUUUGCCAAGGAUGUUUUCAUUAAUCAAGAACGAAAGUUAGGGGAUCGAAGACGAUCAGAUACCGUCGUAGUCUUAACCAUAAACUAUGCCGACUAGGGAUCGGAUGAUGUUUAUUUUUUAGUGACUCAUUCGGCACCUUACG
rnacentral:rRNA from 1 species